rnacentral:misc_RNA from 1 species
GCUUUUCGGGCUUUUCCUUGUGCUUUUCGGGCUCCUUGGGCUUUUCGGGAGCUUUGAGCUUUAAGGGCUCUUUGAUCUCAAUGCUCUUGAUUGCUUUUCCUCCUUUACAACACAAUUUGUCGCGAAUCCGUUCAGGACUACAACAAACUACAAGGAUGGUGAUAGUAUUGGCCUUCUCAUCAUACAUCUGAUCUCGAACCUGAGGCAUUUUGCAGAGAAUUUUCUUGGCCUUCUUGUAGCAGCAGGGACACUGAAGAUCAACCUUUAGCACCAUUACAGUGGUCUUCUCUUUGUGAUCACCACCCAUAGCUAAGAAUUGAAACUAGAAAUGAAUUCCUUGUGAUUAUUUGAAAAGGAAAGAGAGAAUGAAGGAGGAAAAAAAAAGGUGUGUG